CAUGAACCUGUUAAUCCACCUGUCCUUCAGACAAGGAGGGGACUGAACAUGUUGUUAGAUGUGAGAACCACUUUACCAUAGGGUUAAAGGUCAGGGUUAAUGAAGAAAAACAUACAGGACUUGACAUGAACCUGUUAAUCCACCUGUCCUUCAGACAAGGAGGGGACUGAACAUGUUGUUCGAUGUGAGAACCACUUUACCAUAGGGUUAAAGGUCAGGGUUAAUGUGUAUCUCUGUCUCUCUCCAGACCUGAGGGUUAAAGGUCAGGGUUAAUCUGUAUCUCUGUCUCUCUCCAGACAGGGUUAAUACAUAACUGAUAUGUCACUGUGUUAGUUAGGGCCAGGGGUUAAAGGUCAGGGUUAAUAUAUAACUGAUAUGUCACUGUGUUAGUUAGUGGUUAAAGGUCAGGGUUAAUAUAUAUAUAACUGAUAUGUCACUAUGUUAGUUAGGGUUAGGGGUUAAAGGUCAGGGUUAAUAUAUAACUGAUAUGUCACUGUGUUAGUUAGGGGUUAAAGGUCAGGGUUAAUAUAUAACUGAUAUGUCACUGUUAGUUAGGGGUAAAAGGUCAGGGUUACUAUAUAACUGAUAUUUCACUGUGUUAGUUAGUGGUUAAAGGUCAGGGUUAAUAUAUAACUGAUAUGUCACUGUGUUAGUUAGGGGUUAAAGGUCAGGGUUACUAUAUAACUUAUAUUUCACUGUGUUAGUUAGGGGUUAAAGGUCAGGGUUAAUACAUGACUGAUAUGUCACUGUGUUAGUUAGGGUCAGGGGUUAAUGGUCAGGGUUAAUAUAUAACUGAUAUGUCACUGUGUUAGUUAGGGGUUAAAGGUCAGGGUUAAUAUAUAACUGAUAUGUCACUGUGUUAGUUCGGGGUUAAAGGUCAGGGUUAAUAUAUAACUGAUAUGUCACUGUGUUAGUUAGGGGUUAAAGGUCAGGGUUACUAUAUAACUUAUAUUUCACUGUGUUAGUUAGGGGUUAAAGGUCAGGGUUAAUACAUGACUGAUAUGUCACUGUGUUAGUUAGGGUCAGGGGUUAAUGGUCAGGGUUAAUAUAUAACUGAUAUGUCACUGUGUUAGUUAGGGGUUAAAGGUCAGGGUUAAUAUAUAACUGAUAUGUCACUGUGUUAGUUCGGGGUUAAAGGUCAGGGUUAAUAUAUAACUGAUAUGUCACUGUGUUAGUUAGGGGUUAAAGGUCAGUGUUAAUAUAUAACUGAUAUGUCACUGUGUUAGUUAGGGGUUAAAGGUCAGGGUUAAUAUAUAACUGAUAUGUCACUGUGUUAGUUAGGGGUUAAAGGUCAGGGUUAAUUCAUGACUGAAAUGUCACUGUGUUAGUUAGGGUUUAAAGGUCAGGGUUAAUUCAUGACUGAUAUGUCACUGUGUUAGUUAGGGGUUAAAGGUCAGGGUUAAUUCAUGACUGAUAUGUCUCUCUGUGU